ACAUUAUUACAUAAUAGCGUUAAUGUAUUGGAUCCCAUUAGAACUUUGCAGUAAGCAUGCUCGAGCUAGAGUAGUACUGAGAUGGGUGACCUCCCGGGAAGUCCUAAUAUUUACAUUC
rnacentral:rRNA from 1 species